AGCGAACGCUGGCGGCAGGCCUAAUACAUGCAAGUCGAGCGGUCCCUUCGGGGGCAGCGGCGGACGGGUGAGUAACGCGUGGGAACGUGCCCCUUUGGUACGGAACAACUGAGGGAAACUUCAGCUAAUACCGUAUGUGCCCUUCGGGGGAAAGAUUUAUCGCCAUUGGAGCGGCCCGCGUUGGAUUAGGUAGUUGGUGAGGUAAAGGCUCACCAAGCCUACGAUCCAUAGCUGGUCUGAGAGGAUGAUCAGCCACACUGGGACUGAGACACGGCCCAG
rnacentral:rRNA from 1 species